CCAGUAGUGUAUGCUUCUCCUAAAGACUAAGCCAUGCAUGCCUCCGAAUAGAAGAGCAUUCUCUCUGAAUCUGCGAACGGCUCCGCAAACCAGUUGUAAUUUAUGGCAAGCAAGCUUCGGGUGCUGGUCGCAAGACUGGUGCCUGGAGUAAUAGGGAUAACCCUGGUAAUUCUGAGGCUAAUACAAGCGACGUAUCGUCUGGUCUGACAGCAAUGGAGGAUCGGAUGGACGUGUGAGUAGGACGCAAGGUUUUGCUGGGAAUGGGUGCACGUUUAGACCACCAUACAAACAGUCUGGGUGCUGGAACCCUCACGGGUAAAGGCGCCUUGUCUGGGUGGCUCUUGCAGUGUGCUUCUGACCUAUCAACUAGAUGGCAGCAUAAAGGACAUGCCAUGGUUACAACGGGUACAGAGGAUAAGGGUUCGAUCCUGGAGAGUGGGCCUGAGAGAUUGCUCACACUUCUAAGGAAGGCAGCAGGCGCGCAACGUUCCCCUUGGGCAAUGCUCGAGGGCGUUAGGGGAAAUAUGAAUGUCUGCCUUAUGGUGGACAAUUCAAAUGG
rnacentral:rRNA from 1 species